CAACGGCUGAUCUCCCCGUUGGUUAGGUGGCUUCCCAGGCUUACAUUCAACUAGAUCUUAGAGUCACAGACACUUCUGGUUGCACAAUGGUUAACCAGGUCUCAGUGGACACUGAAUUUUGCAGCAGAUACCAUGAAACAUAUGGAUACAGCAAGAAUGUGGCAGUCUGUAAACCAGGAAGAAAUCCCUUACAGGGGAACCAAAUUGGCCAUCACCUUGAUCUUGGACUUCCUGGCCUCU